ensembl:lncRNA
AGCUGUCCCGCUCAGCCGUGCGCCUCUGCUGCCUCUCUCCCCAGUUGUGCUUCUGCUUCACAAGAGCUGCAGUGUUCCAGCACAACUGCCAGGAGAACCAACGCCUCCCCGUGCUGGGGAAGCUGGCCGGACACCUCAUCCUGUGCUGCAGCUCCACGGAUGAGAGGACCAGAGAUGAGGCGAUGAAGGCUAUCCAUCAGCUUUUCACCUUCAUCACCGCCCCAGGUGAGAGGAGUUGUGUUGGGUUAGGUCCCCCCAGACCUCCAGAUGCCCAGGCCCCUCACUGACAUUGCGUGCGCUCCUCUCCAGGAUUGUUGCCGAAGCAGAAGGAGCCCAAGAUGCCACAGCCCUGGGACAGCCAGCAAACUCUGCUCCCCCAGGAGGUUUCCCAUGAGGACAGAGCCAGAAAUGUCUUUGAGGUAUGAGGAACAAACCCUGAGCCCACAGGAGAACCCAAGCCUGCAGAGUCAGGAAGAGUGCAGGAGCUGUCCCCAAGAUGCCCUGGUGCACGUAGGGCCCUCACGCCCCGUAUCCCCAGUGUCACCCAGCCCCUGCUCCCAGUUCUCCUGAGGCAGCAGCAUGGCCGAGCAGCCACGCAGGUGAUGAGUCAUCCCUCUUCUCCUUCCUCCUACAGGUGCUUCGGAAAUGCCUCCUGUACCCCAAAACGGUCAAUAUCUUACUCACAGCCAUCGAGAGUAUGACAGCGCCGGGCCUCCACAGCACCCAGCUUGCUGCCCACAUGGUGGAUGUCCUCACAGCAAAGGCUCGCUUCCCUCCACGGGAGGUGCGAAAGAUCGUGAACGUGAUCUACAACAGCCUGCCUUCCAUCAAAGCCCAGCCGGCUCUCAAAAGCCUGGGCAGGGCCCUGCUCGUGCUGGUCAGCAAAUUCCCAAGGGAGAUGGUUACCAGCCUGCUGGUCUGCUCCCCCACCUGCACCAGGGUCGCUGUCACCAUGUGGAGGGAAAUGCUCUCGGAGCCCCCGGCCGUGGAGAAGGUGCUGCAGCAGCUGCUCCCAGUGCUCAGAAACCAUUCUCUGCACCACACGUCCCC